rnacentral:rRNA from 1 species
UGGGGAAUAUUGCACAAUGGACGGAAGUUUGAUGCAGCGACGCCGCGUGGAGGGUGUAGGCCUUCGGGUUGUGAACUCCUUUUUCUCGCGAAAAAGGCACAGUUUUGGCUGUGUUGAUGGUAGUGGGGGAAGAAGCGCCGGCUAACUACGUGCCAGCAGCCGCGGUAUUACGUAGGGCGCGAGCGUUGUCCGGAUUUAUUGGGCGUAAAGAGCUCGUAGGUGGUUCGUCGCGUCUGUCGUGAAAGCCAGCAGCUUAACUGUCGGUCUGCGGUGGGUACGGGCGGGCUUGAGUGCGGUAGGGGUGACUGGAAUUCCUGGUGUAGCGGUGGAAUGCGCAGAUAUCAGGAGGAACACCGAUGGCGAAGGCAGGUCACUGGGCCGUUACUGACACUGAGGAGCGAAAGCGUGGGGAGCGAACAGG